rnacentral:rRNA from 1 species
UACGUAGGGUGCUAGCGUUGUCCGGAUUUAUUGGGCGUAAAGGGCUCGUAGGCGGCGUGUCGCGUCGGGAGUGAAAGCCCGCUGCUUAACGGCGGGUUGGCUUCCGGUACGGGCAGACUAGAGUGCGGUAGGGGAGAUUGGAACUCCUGGUGUAGCGGUGGAAUGCGCAGAUAUCAGGAAGAACACCGAUGGCGAAGGCAGAUCUCUGGGCCAGUACUGACGCUAAGGCGCGAAAGCGUGGGGAGCGAACAGG